AAAAUCCCGUAAGGAAACGUCAUAAACGUCACAUCCAGCUGUCCUCACCCUUGUUUCGCUGCAUUCAUGGCUGCCAGGGUGACAAGAGAUGGGUCAGUCAUGCAUUGGUAGACUGCAUAUACUAAAAGAAAAGGAAAGUUUCAGCAAUUAUAAUGCAUGAUAAA
rnacentral:lncRNA from 1 species